AUGGCGGUUGUUGUAGAGACCAGUUAGCUUGCUGCUCGAGUUGCCUCGCAUCAGUUGUUGUCACGACAAGCUUGCUGCUCGUUACUGCUCCCAGCUAACGAGGAGCAAAUUUCGCAACAGUGAAUAUCUUUACUGUUUUCGGGUCAUCGUGUGCGGUGGAUGGGUUGAAGUCGCUGCUUUUUACUGUUAGCCGACUUUCCACACAAGUGAAAUGACGUUUAUGUGUCAAAACGAAGACCGCGCUAAAAAAAGUAGCGCUAACAGCAAAGCCUUAUAUGUUAUGAGUUGGUCAGAUAGAGGGAGUGGAAGAAUAAUUAGUGACAUUAGAGACAGCUGUGACAGGUGGCGGACGUUCACAGGAAAAGGGGCGUGGUCAUGGAGGGCGUUGCACAGGUGCCUGGUAGGUUUGUAUGGGAUUAGAUUUGUGCCAAUAGGAUCAAGAAAAACACUUUGGAGAGCAAACAAAUUUUAAGACAUUGAGAGAAAACACAUUCGUUUCAAAAGAAAAACUUACGAUCUGAAUCAGAUUCUUAAAAUGAUCAAGAAAAACACUGACGGUCAAACAAAAAUUAAGAAAUUGACAGAACAAAAAUAUUGACUAAAGGAAAAAAACAUGUUUCAAAAGUAAAACUAUCUGAAUCAACUUCUUAAAAUGAGUAACAAAGUAUUUUUCCUUUUUCUGUUUGCCUCUAUGUGUUUUUGUUAUCAAUUUCCUUAGUUUUGUUCUCGCUGCUCACAGCUUUGCUCUCACUACCAGAUUUGCACUUACACUGUCUGGCAUUCUCCUUUGCAAUCCCUGAGUUUUUGGUUGCAAUUCUGACAACCCUUUCGGGUGGGUGGGACUUCUGAGAAGUCCUCUACCAUAGGACAGUGUUUUCUCUUGAGUGACAGUUCAGUGACCCAGAAGUGAUGUAUCCUCCAAGACAUUUUUUUUCCACCUGGUCAACAACAUGAAUUUUGAGCCCCAAACACGUUAUUUCUGCUGUCUGUGGUGUCUACUGAGGAUCUAAAGAACCUGUGGAACAUCAGACUUUGCAGCUACUGGAGCUAACCUGUGUACUGCUAACAGGCUGUUUUGCAGGUAAUCCUCGGGUGUCAGCAGGAGGUGACCACCUGCAUAACGGAGCACCCUGGUUCUGAGCCAGUUGCACCUUUGUGCAGCUCUUUGGGGAGACAAUGCUCAGCAGACACAUGCCUCCAUGUGGUCAGGUGGUGUUGGUGUGAUCUGGGAGGGCACACCCAUGUCGUCAUCUCCUUUUGCCGUCUCCAGGAUCAUGAUGGGAGUUCUCUGUGCCUAUAAAGCAGGGGUAUUUACUUCUGAGCCUGGAGGGCCGGUUUCCAGCACGUUUUAGUUUUAACUCUGUUUCAACACACCUGACUUCAGUCAGCAGAUAAUUAACAGGCUUCUGCAGAGCUGCUGCACAGGUAAUUCAACCACUGAUUCAAGUGUGUUGGAGCAGAGAAACAACUAAAACGUGCUGGAUACCAGCCAGCCAGGACUAGAAUUGAAUACCCCUGCUAUAAAGCCUUCCUCCCUCCUCUGGACUUUAAACAUUAGUAUUUAUUAUGGUUUACCUGAUUUAGUAAAUAAAUCUCAAUUUAUAAAUUU